ACGUAGGGGGCGAGCGUUGUCCGGAUUUAUUGGGCGUAAAGAGCUCGUAGGCGGCUUAGUAAGUCUGCUGUGAAAGCUCCAGGCUUAACCUGGAGAGGCCAGUGGAUACUGCUAUGGCUAGAGUCCGGUAGGGGAGCGUGGAAUUCCCAGUGUAGCGGUGGAAUGCGCAGAUAUUGGGAGGAACACCAGCGGCGAAGGCGGCGCUCUGGACCGGAACUGACGCUGAGGAGCGAAAGCAUGGGUAGCAAACAGG
rnacentral:rRNA from 1 species